rnacentral:ncRNA from 1 species
UACCUGGUUGAUCCUGCCAGUAGUCAUAUGCUUGUCUCAAAGAUUAAGCCAUGCAAGUCUAAGUACGAGCUCUCGUACAGUGAAACUGCGAAUGGCUCAUUAAAUCAGUUAUGGUUCAUUUGAUCGUACAGUUUACUUGGAUAACUGUGGUAAUUCUAGAGCUAAUACAUGCGAGAAGCGCCGACCUCGCGGGAGGCGUGCAUUUAUCAGACCAAAAACCGGCCGCGUCUUCGGGCGCGUUCGCCUUGGUGACUCUGGAUAACUUUGCGGAUCGCACGGUCUAGCACCGGCGACGGAUCAUUCAAGUGUCUGCCCUAUCAACUUUCGUCGGUACGGUAUUUGCCUACCGAGGUUCUUACGGGUGACGGGGAAUCAGGGUUCGAUUCCGGAGAGGGAGCCUGAGAAACGGCUACCACAUCCAAGGAAGGCAGCAGGCGCGCAAAUUACCCAUUCCCGACGCGGGGAGGUAGUGACGAAAAAUAACAAUGCAGGACUCGUUCGAGGCCCUGUAAUUGGAAUGAGUACACUUUAAAAGCUUUAACGAGUAUCCAUUGGAGGGCAAGUCUGGUGCCAGCAGCCGCGGUAAUUCCAGCUCCAAAAGUAUAUAUUUAAGUUGUUGCGGUUAAAAAGCUCGUAGUUGGAUUUUGGGCGC